rnacentral:rRNA from 1 species
GCAGUCGAACGAUGAAGCCCAGCUUGCUGGGUGGAUUAGUGGCGAACGGGUGAGUAACACGUGGGUGAUCUGCCCUGCACUCUGGGAUAAGCCUGGGAAACUGGGUCUAAUACCGGAUAUGACCUCGGAUGCAUGUCCUGGGGUGGAAAGUUUUUCGGUGCAGGAUGAGCCCGCGGCCUAUCAGCUUGUUGGUGGGGUAAUGGCCUACCAAGGCGACGACGGGUAGCCGGCCUGAGAGGGCGACCGGCCACACUGGACUGAGACACGGCCCAGACUCCUACGGGAGGCAGCAGUGGGGAAUAUUGCACAAUGGGCGCAAGCCUGAUGCAGCGACGCCGCGUGAGGGAUGACGGCCUUCGGGUUGUAAACCUCUUUCACCCAGACGAAGCGCAAGUGACGGUAGUGGGAGAAGAAGCACCGGCCAACUACGUGCCAGCAGCCGCGGUAAUACGUAGGGUGCGAGCGUUGUCCGGAAUUACUGGGCGUAAAGAGCUCGUAGGCGGUUUGUGCGUCGUCUGUGAAAUCCCGCAGCUCAACUGCGGGCUUGCAGGCGAUACGGGCAGACUCGAGUACUGCAGGGGAGACUGGAAUUCCUGGUGUAGCGGUGAAAUGCGCAGAUAUCAGGAGGAACACCGUGGCGAAGGCGGGUCUCUGGGCAGUAACUGACGCUGAGGAGCGAAAGCGUGGGUAGCGAACAGGAUUAGAUACCCUGGUAGUCCACGCCGUAAACGGUGGGCGCUAGGUGUGGGUUUCCUUCCACGGAUCCGUGCCGUAGCCAACGCAUUAAGCGCCCCGCCUGGGGAGUACGGCCGCAAGGCUAAAACUCAAAGGAAUUGACGGGGGCCCGCACAAGCGGCGGAGCAUGUGGAUUAAUUCGAUGCAACGCGAAAACCUUACCUGGGUUUGACAUGUACCGGACGACUGCAGAGAUGUGGUUUCCCUUGUGGCCGGUAGACAGGUGGUGCAUGGCUGUCGUCAGCUCGUGUCGUGAGAUGUUGGGUUAAGUCCCGCAACGACGCAACCCUUGUCCUGUGUUGCCAGCACGUGAUGGUGGGGACUCGCAGGAGACUGCCGGGGUCAACUCGGAGGAAGGUGGGGACGACGUCAAGUCAUCAUGCCCCUUAUGUCCAGGGGCUUCACACAGCUACAAUGGUCGGUACAGAGGGGCCUGCGAUACCGGUGGAGGGUGGAGAGCGGAAAUCCCCUUAAAAGCCGGGUCUUCAAUUUCGGAUAUCGGGGG